rnacentral:rRNA from 1 species
UACUCCUACGGGAGGCAGCAGCAAGGAAUUUUCCGCAAUCGACGCAAGUCGGACGGAGCAACGCCGCGUGGGGGAAGAAGGCCUUCGGGUUGUAAACCCCUUUUGUGAGGGAAGAAGAUCUGACGGUACCUCACGAAUAAGUCACGGCUAACUACGUGCCAGCAGCCGCGGUAAU